AGCAGCAUGGCUUAGUGGGAAGAGCACAGACCUGGGAUCUGAGGGUCUGGGUUCUAAUCCCAGCUCUGUAA
rnacentral:tRNA from 1 species